UCUCCUCUCCACUUGAAACUGAUGAGGAGAACAACAUCUACAAUGGCCAGAACCAUCACCAAAAAGAACAGGUGCUCCAGAGGACACCGAAACCCAAUCUCCAGAAAGAAAUCACAAUUUCAGCACUGAAUUUUGCCACAGAAAUUAUUCACUCUACAUAAACAGGGUCCUAAAAGAAGUGGCUCCCCACAAUGGCAUAUCAUCUCGCACCUUGGACAUGAUGAAUGCCAUGAUCAAUGACAUCUUUGAACGCAUUUCUACGGAAGCCUGCAACCUGCUGUAUUUCAGAAAUCGUUGUACCCUCACCCCUGAAGAUAUCCAGAAGGCAGUGUAUUUGCUGUUGCCUGGGAAACAGCGCUAAGUAUGCAGUGGCUUUUGGAAAUGAAGCUGUUCAAUGGUAUGUCCACUCCUAAACUCCAUGUUCCAGCUUCAUUAAAUCUUGGGGAAAGUUAAUUGAACUUACUACCCAGAUGAUCACUU